GAGUUUGAUCUUGGCUCAGGAUGAACGCUGGCGGCGUGCUUAAGACAUGCAAGUCGAACGCGGAGCGAUAGCAAUAUUGCUCCGAGUGGCGAAUGGGUGCGUAACACGUAGGUGAUCUGCCCAGAAGUGUGGAAUAACAGUCCGAAAGGACUGCUAAUACCGCAUGUGGCAGCCGGGGUUAGAGGCCCGGUUGCGAAAGGUCCGUAAGGAUCGCUUCUGGAGGAGCCUGCGGCCCAUCAGGUAGUUGGUAGGGUAAUGGCCUACCAAGCCAACGACGGGUAGGGGACCUCAGAGGGUGGCCCCCCACACUGGCACUGACACACGGGCCAGACUCCUACGGGAGGCAGCAGUCGGGAAUAUUGCCCAAUGGUCGCAAGACUGAGGCAGCAACGCCGCAUGCGCGAUGAAGGCCUUC
rnacentral:rRNA from 1 species